GCCAGCCAGAGCCCGGCGGCGAUAAUCGGAAUCGAUGCCACCACUCCCACUAGGUUCAACCAUCCGAUCACCGCGUUGCUUGCUUGGGAUUAAUUAGGAGGGGUUGCAAAACCUCAGCAUGGCAAUCCAAGGCAAGACGGAAGAACAUGGCAGAGAUGAAGUGCUUCCCAACAGACUCCGCAAGCUUAAUCUGAGCAAGCCAGUAGGAUGAAGACUCCAGCCUGUUAAGCCUACACUUGGUGCAGUUCUUAGCACUCUGGUAUGGUGUCUCCGGUGCCACACUCUUCACCAAGGACACAGUUUCUGAAAUCUAUUCUUAGAAGCAUUCUUGCCAUCAUCAACAGUGGCUUCAGCCUUGAAGUUUUUCUGUAAACCCAACUUUGUGAGGCUCUCCACCGG